AGCGAACGCUGGCGGCAGGCCUAACACAUGCAAGUCGAACGAAGUCUUCGGACUUAGUGGCGGACGGGUGAGUAACACGUGGGAACGUGCCUUUAGGUUCGGAAUAACUCAGGGAAACUUGUGCUAAUACCGAAUGUGCCCUUCGGGGGAAAGAUUUAUCGCCUUUAGAGCGGCCCGCGUCUGAUUAGCUAGUUGGUGAGGUAAAGGCUCACCAAGGCGACGAUCAGUAGCUGGUCUGAGAGGAUGAUCAGCCACAUUGGGACUGAGACACGGCCCAAACUCCUACGGGAGGCAGCAGUGGGGAAGCUUGCGCAAUGGGCGAAAGCCUGACGCAGCCAUGCCGCGUGAAUGAUGAAGGUCUUAGGAUUGUAAAAUUCUUUCACCGGGGACGAUAAUGACGGUACCCGGAGAAGAAGCCCCGGCUAACUUCGUGCAGCCGCCGCGGUAAGAC
rnacentral:rRNA from 1 species